rnacentral:rRNA from 1 species
GGUUAAGUUAACAAGGGCGCAUGGUGAAUGCCUUGGCACUAGGAGCCGAUGAAGGACGGGACUAACACCGAUAUGCUUCGGGGAGCUGUACGUAAGCUAUGAUCCGGAGAUUUCCGAAUGGGGCAACCCAGCAGUUUUAAUCAACUGUUACCACUAGAUGAAUUCAUAGUCUAGUUGGAGGUAAACGCUGUGAACUGAAACAUCUCAUUAGCAGCAGGAAUAUAAAGAAAUUUCGAUUCCCUAAGUAGCGGCGAGCGAACGGGGAACAGCCCAAACCAAAGUGCUUGCACUUUGGGGUUGUAGGACUGAACAUUUGAGUUACCAAAGAACUUGAUAGUCGAAGGAUUUGGGAAAAUCCGCCAUAGAUGGUGAUAGCCCAGUAGAUUAAAUCAAAUUCUCUCAGUUCAGGAUCCUGAGUACGGCGGAACACGUGAAAUUCCGUCGGAAUCCGGGAGGACCAUCUCCCAAGGCUAAAUACUACCUAGUGACCGAUAGUGAACCAGUACCGUGAGGGAAAGGUGAAAAGCACCCCGGGAGGGGAGUGAAAUAGUUCCUGAAACCAUGUGCCUACAAUAAGUCAGAGCGCGUUAAUGCGUGAUGGCGUGCCUUUUGUAGAAUGAACCGGCGAGUUAUGAUCCCGUGCAAGGUUAAGACUAAAAAGUCGGAGCCGUAGCGAAAGCGAGUCUGAAAUGGGCGUUUUGAGUACGAGGUUAUAGACCCGAAACCAGGUGACCUAUCCAUGUCCAGGUUGAAGGUGCGGUAAAACGCACUGGAGGACCGAACCCGUGUAAGUUGAAAAUUGCUGGGAUGAGGUGUGGAUAGCGGUGAAAUUCCAAACGAACUUGGAGAUAGCUGGUUCUCUCCGAAAUAGCUUUAGGGCUAGCCUCGGAAUUAGGAUCAUGGAGGUAGAGCACUAUUUGGACUAGGGGCCCGUCUUGGGUUACUGAAUUCAGAUAAACUCCGAAUGCCAUUGAUUCAUAUCCGGGAGUCAGACGAUGAGUGAUAAGAUCCACCGUCGAAAGGGGAACAGCCCAGACCAUCAGUUAAGGUCCCUAAAUGUAUGCUAAGUGGAAAAGGAUGUGGAGUUGCAUAGACAACUAGGAUGUUGGCUCAGAAGCAGCCACCAUUUAAAGAGUGCGUAAUAGCUCACUAGUCGAGUGAUCCUGCGCCGAAAAUGUACCGGGGCUAAGCAUACUACCGAAACCAUGGAUGCGACCAUUAGGUCGCGUGAUAGGAGAGCGUUCUAAGGGCGGUGAAGCAAGAUCGUGAGGACUUGUGGAGCGCUUAGAAGUGAGAAUGCCGGUAUGAGUAGCGAAAGAUAGGUGAGAAUCCUAUCCACCGAAUGACUAAGGUUUCCUGGGGAAGGCUCGUCCUCCCAGGGUUAGUCGGGACCUAAGUCGAGGCCGAGAGGCGUAGACGAUGGAUAACAGGUUGAGAUUCCUGUACUAGUUAAGUGCGUUUGAGCAAUGGAGGGACGCAGGAGGCUAAGAUGUGCAUUCUGUUGGAUUAGAAUGUCCAAGCAGUAAGUCUUGUGAAGAGUCAAAUGCUUUUCACUUUAAGGACAAGCUGUGAUGGGGAGCGAAAUUUAGUAGCGAAGCGUCUGAUGUCACACUGCCGAGAAAAGCUUCUAGUGAGUACUUAACUACCCGUACCGCAAACCGACACAGGUAGUCGAGGAGAGAAUCCUAAGGUGAGCGAGUGAACUCUCGUUAAGGAACUCGGCAAAAUGACCCCGUAACUUCGGGAGAAGGGGUGCUGAUCGCAAGAUCAGCCGCAGUGAAUAGGCCCAGGCGACUGUUUAUCAAAAACACAGGUCUCUGCAAAAUCGCAAGAUGACGUAUAGGGGCUGACGCCUGCCCGGUGCUGGAAGGUUAAAAGGAUGGGUUAGCUUCGGCGAAGCUCAGAAUUGAAGCCCCAGUAAACGGCGGCCGUAACUAUAACGGUCCUAAGGUAGCGAAAUUCCUUGUCGGGUAAGUUCCGACCCGCACGAAAGGCGUAACGAUCUGGGCACUGUCUCAACGAGAGACUCGGUGAAAUUAUAUUGUCCGUGAAGAUGCGGACUACCCGCGACAGGACGGAAAGACCCCAUGGAGCUUUACUGUAGCUUGAUAUUGAGUGUUUGUACAGCUUGUACAGGAUAGGUAGGAGCCAUAGAAACCGGAACGCUAGUUUCGGUGGAGGCGUUGGUGGGAUACUACCCUCGCUGUAUGACCACUCUAACCCGCACCACUAAUCGUGGUGGGAGACAGUGUCAGGUGGGCAGUUUGACUGGGGCGGUCGCCUCCUAAAAAGUAACGGAGGCGCCCAAAGGUUCCCUCAGAAUGGUUUGGAAAUCAUUCGCAGAGUGUAAAGGCACAAGGGAGCUUGACUGCGAGACAGACAGGUCGAGCAGGGACGAAAGUCGGGCUUAGUGAUCCGGUGGUACCGUAUGGAAGGGCCAUCGCUCAACGGAUAAAAGCUACCCUGGGGAUAACAGGCUUAUCUCCCCCAAGAGUCCACAUCGACGGGGAGGUUUGGCACCUCGAUGUCGGCUCAUCGCAUCCUGGGGCUGUAGUCGGUCCCAAGGGUUGGGCUGUUCGCCCAUUAAAGCGGUACGCGAGCUGGGUUCAGAACGUCGUGAGACAGUUCGGUCCCUAUCCGUCGCGGGCGUAGGAAAUUUGAGAGGACCUGUCCUUAGUACGAGAGGACCGGGAUGGACAUACCUCUGGUGUACCAGUUGUGCCGCCAGGCGCAUCGCUGGGUAGCUACGUAUGGAUGUGAUAAACGCUGAAAGCAUCUAAGUGUGAAACACACCUCGAGAUGAGAUUUCCCAUUCCUUUAUGGAAGUAUAAGACCCCUGAAAGAUGAUCAGGUAGAUAGGUUAGAAGUGGCAGUGCGGUGACGCAUGAAGCGGACUAAUACUAAUCGGUCGAGGACUUAACCAA